rnacentral:rRNA from 1 species
GAUGAACGCUGGCGGCGUGCCUAAUACAUGCAAGUAGAACGCUGAAGCUUGGUGCUUGCACCGAGCGGAUGAGUUGCGAACGGGUGAGUAACGCGUAGGUAACCUGCCUCUUAGCGGGGGAUAACUAUUGGAAACGAUAGCUAAUACCGCAUAAAAGACGAUAUCGCAUGAUAUUGAUUUGAAAGGUGCAAAUGCAUCACUAAGAGAUGGACCUGCGUUGUAUUAGCUAGUUGGUGAGGUAACGGCUCACCAAGGCAACGAUACAUAGCCGACCUGAGAGGGUGAUCGGCCACACUGGGACUGAGACACGGCCCAGACUCCUACGGGAGGCAGCAGUAGGGAAUCUUCGGCAAUGGGGGCAACCCUGACCGAGCAACGCCGCGUGAGUGAAGAAGGUUUUCGGAUCGUAAAGCUCUGUUGUAAGAGAAGAACGAGUGUGAGAGUGGAAAGUUCACACUGUGACGGUAACUUACCAGAAAGGGACGGCUAACUACGUGCCAGCAGCCGCGGUAAUACGUAGGUCCCGAGCGUUGUCCGGAUUUAUUGGGCGUAAAGCGAGCGCAGGCGGUUUGAUAAGUCUGAAGUUAAAGGCUGUGGCUCAACCAUAGUUCGCUUUGGAAACUGUCAAACUUGAGUGCAGAAGGGGAGAGUGGAAUUCCAUGUGUAGCGGUGAAAUGCGUAGAUAUAUGGAGGAACACCGGUGGCGAAAGCGGCUCUCUGGUCUGUAACUGACGCUGAGGCUCGAAAGCGUGGGGAGCGAACAGG